rnacentral:rRNA from 1 species
UAUCCUACGGGGCGCAGCAGUGAGGAAUAUUGGUCAAUGGCCGGGAGGCUGAACCAGCCAAGUCGCGUGAGGGAAGACGGCCCUACGGGUUGUAAACCUCUUUUGUCAGGGAGCAAGGUGCAGGUCGGGACCUGCUGUGAGAGUACCUGAAGAAAAAGCAUCGGCUAACUCCGUGCCAGCAGCCGCGGUAAUACGGAGGAUGCGAGCGUUAUCCGGAUUUAUUGGGUUUAAAGGGUGCGCAGGCGGAGGCACAAGUCAGCGGUCAAAUUGCGGGGCUCAACCCCGUACUGCCGUUGAAACUGCAU